rnacentral:rRNA from 1 species
GACGAACGCUGGCGGCGUACCUAAUACAUGCAAGUCGAACGCUUCUUUCCUCCCGAGUGCUUGCCCUCAAUUGGAAAGAGGAGUGGCGGACGGGUGAGUAACACGUGGGUAACCUACCCAUCAGAGGGGGAUAACACUUGGAAACAGGUGCUAAUACCGCAUAACAGUUUAUGCCGCAUGGCAUAAGAGUGAAAGGCGCUUUCGGGUGUCGCUGAUGGAUGGACCCGCGGUGCAUUAGCUAGUUGGUGAGGUAACGGCUCACCAAGGCCACGAUGCAUAGCCGACCUGAGAGGGUGAUCGGCCACACUGGGACUGAGACACGGCCCAGACUCCUACGGGAGGCAGCAGUAGGGAAUCUUCGGCAAUGGACGAAAGUCUGACCGAGCAACGCCGCGUGAGUGAAGAAGGUGUUCGGAUCGUAAAACUCUGUUGUUAGAGAAGAACAAGGACGUUAGUAACUGAACGUCCCCUGACGGUAUCUAACCAGAAAGCCACGGCUAACUACGUG